rfam:Helobdella robusta unplaced genomic scaffold HELROscaffold_110, whole genome shotgun sequence.
AUGAUGUGAAAGACAUGGGUAGUGAGAUGUUUGUGUGUGCAGUUGUUAUCUAAUCAUUAUCCAUCUUACUACUGUGUUUUUCCACAUUAU